rnacentral:rRNA from 1 species
UGGGGAAUUUUGGACAAUGGGCGAAAGCCUGAUCCAGCAAUGCCGCGUGUGUGAAGAAGGCCUUCGGGUUGUAAAGCACUUUUGUCCGGAAAGAAAUCCUUGGCUCUAAUACAGUCGGGGGAUGACGGUACCGGAAGAAUAAGCACCGGCUAACUACGUGCCAGCAGCCGCGGUAAUACGUAGGGUGCAAGCGUUAAUCGGAAUUACUGGGCGUAAAGCGUGCGCAGGCGGUUUGCUAAGACCGAUGUGAAAUCCCCGGGCUCAACCUGGGAACUGCAUUGGUGACUGGCAGGCUAGAGUAUGGCAGAGGGGGGUAGAAUUCCACGUGUAGCAGUGAAAUGCGUAGAGAUGUGGAGGAAUGCCGAUGGCGAAGGCAGCCCCCUGGGCCAAUACUGACGCUCAUGCACGAAAGCGUGGGGAGCAAAACAGGAUUAGAUACCCUGGUAGUCCACGCCCUAAAACGAUGUCAACUAGUUGUUGGGGAUUCAUUUCCUUAGUAACGUAGCUAACGCGUGAAGUUGACCGCCUGGGGAGUACGGUCGCAAGAUUAAAACUCAAAUGAAUUGACGGGGUCAUAGCUGUUUCCU